UAGGGAAUUUUCCGCAAUGGGCGAAAGCCUGAUGCAGCAACGCCGCGUGAGUGAUGAAGGUCUUCGGAUCGUAAAACUCUGUUAUUAGGGAAGAACAAAUGUGUAAGUAACUAUGCACGUCUUGACGGUACCUAAUCAGAAAGCCACGGCUAACUACGUGCCAGCAGCCGCGGUAAUACGUAGGUGGCAAGCGUUAUCCGGAAUUAUUGGGCGUAAAGCGCGCGUAGGCGGUUUUUUAAGUCUGAUGUGAAAGCCCACGGCUCAACCGUGGAGGGUCAUUUGAAACUGGAAAACUAGAGUGCAGAAGAGGAAAGUGGAAUUCCAUGUGUAGCGGUGAAAUGCGCAGAGAUAUGGAGGAACACCAGUGGCGAAGGCGACUUUCUGGUCUGUAACUGACGCUGAUGUGCGAAAGCGUGGGGAUCAAACAGG
rnacentral:rRNA from 1 species